AUUUUUUCAGGCAAUGGCAAGGUGCAGUCAACCUAUACCUUGCAGUGCUUUCAACAGUGAUGGUUCCAUAUUUGCAUACGCAGUUUGGUAUGAUUGGAGCAAGGGUGCUGAAAAUCACAAUCCUGCUACUGCAAAGAACUGCAUUUACCUCCACGUGCCACAGGAAGCUGAGGUUAAAGGCAAGCCAAGAAUCAACACCGGAAAACGGUGAAGCUGUUUGCGACCAGCCAUGUUUGCUAUGAGCUAUUUGUGCAUAGGACGUUUUUUAGUCUGCAAACGCGUAAUCAAGGCGGCUUUCUCCAUGUCUAGAUGUUUAGAUAGAAGAUUGUUCUGGUGCUAUUUCUGAGUUGCCAUUUUCGAAGAGGUGACUAGUUUGUUCUUCGCUACGUACUAUGUUUUUUGUGGAGUCCACUUUGUAAUGUAUUUUGAUAAAUCGAACUGUCUAUCUUUUAGAUAUUCCAUCCAAGAUCAUGUUUACCAAGUCACCCAAAUCUGAAACUAUAUGAUUGUUGGAUUAAGGGUUUAAGGUUUCUUUAUAGAACCGGAUUUGUCCAUUUCUUUCACUGCAAAUGAAUAUCUUAAUGAUUUUGGACUCAUCUAAUUUUUUGCAAUGGUG